GACCAGGAGACUGGUGAGUCCUUGUGAAUUUCUUCCCUGCUCAAGUGCAUAAAGCAGGUGUAUUGCAUAGCUUUUCCAGGCUGAGAUCAAAGAGGGAGAUGUGUCUACCCGCAGAUCUUAGAUGGCCAUGUUUGCAACAGGGGUAAUGAUGAGCAGUGCGAAGAUGUGACUCCAAAGCCUGGAGAAGGACAGACCAGCAUCCCUGGCAAGAGAUCCAACUGUCUUCUUUUCCGCAGAGGUCCACAAUUUACAUGGACCUGACAAAGAAUAUUGUAACUUGCAGAAAUUAUCUUCAGUUCAAAUCCUUCAUUUUGGGGGUUAAAUAACUUGCCCAAGAUGUCGAGGGAGCGGAAAUACUUGCUGGUCUUGCAGCGGCUGUGGAGCCUGGAAUCCUGCCAAGAAGAGCAUGUGUGAGAAAUCAAAAUGUUUCUUACAUUCCUCCUGUGAAGGGAGUUGGGAAAUAAUCUAAAAAGCCCAAUCCAAAAACAAAGAUGUACCAUCCAGUCUUCUCUGUGAGAGCCAAACUACAAACCAUCUGAAUGUUCCAAAAGUGUUUUGAUGAUGUAUUGAUGUAUUUUAAAUUAUCCUGAAAAUGUUCUUGGCAGAUGCUUAAACGUGUAGUUACUGAGAUGAUGUAGAAAUACCAAGUGUUUAUUAAAACAAUACAGAGUAAUACA
rnacentral:antisense_RNA from 1 species